GAGAUAGGCAGAUACAGACAAUCACAAAUUGCCUGGGCAGAAACCUCUGUGGGAACAGUGCCCAGUUAUAGUAAAAAAUCAGCCAACAGAAGAAAAAGAGAAAAAGGCAGGAAGAAAGAAGAGGUUUACUAAUCGAGAGAGGCACUUAUGUGGCCAGGGACUACUCACUGCUGUAUGCCCCGAGGACUACAUAGCUCACACUUCAUAUACACUGGAUGUUCAAUAAAUACUUAAUAAUUCAACAAAAUUUUUGCUUUGUUAAGCAACUGAAGAAGACUUUUUGAGCUGAAAAUGAAGUAUCGGUGGUCUGAAAAAGGCCUAACAGAAUUGACUUAUAACCGUAUUUUAGGUAAGACCUAAACUAUGAAUGCCUUGUUUUCCAAAAGAUUAUCAUUAUUAAUAUAUAAACUUUAAAAUGCCACA